AGAGAUGUGUGAUGACGCAUAUCAAUAAGCGGAGGAAAAGAAACUAACAAGGAUUCCCUUAGUAACGGCGAGUGAAGCGGGAAGAGCUCAAAUUUGAAAUCUUCAAGGUUCUACCUUGACGAAUUGUAGUUUAUAGAAGUGUUUUCUGUUAGUGGAGUGGCAAAAGUUCUUUGGAAUAGGACAUCAUAGAGGGUGAGAAUCCCGUAUUUGGUCAUUCCUCCUAGCGUUGUGAUACACUUUCAACGAGUCGGAUUGUUUGGGAAUGCAGUCCAAAAUGGGUGGUAAAUUUCAUCUAAAGCUAAAUAUUGGCGAGAGACCGAUAGCGAACAAGUACCGUGAGGGAAAGAUGAAAAGAACUUUGAAAAGAGAGUUAAACAGUACGUGAAAUUGUCAAAAGGGAAGCGUUUGACACCAGUGUUGUUUUUUCCGAAAAUCAAUUACGAAUGUUUUGUUUUUGAGGAGUUAUGACUUCAUCGGCUUGCUCCUUUCUUUACGAAACUUUCUUAAUGCACUUUUCGGUUAACAAGUCAACAUCAAUUUCUUUUGUUGUAAAAGGGUAUGAGGAAGGUGGCUUUCUUUUCGGAGAAAGUGUUUAUAGCCUUGUGCCUCUGCAAUCGGAGAGAUUGAGGUCUGCAGCGUAGAUCCUUCGGGGUUAGAUACGUUUGUGCUAAGUUAUAGCUCUUCAUAGACAACUUGUUGACUAUGUUUAGUCUUGUAGCUUACUCGCUUAUGCUAUUUUACCUACGCUUAGGAUGUUGAACUCUAUCACACACAG
rnacentral:rRNA from 1 species